AAUACCAUGUUUAAAACACCGGUUCUCGUUCGAUCACCGAAGUUAAGCAACCUCGAGCCCGUGCCUAAAUGGGUGACCGCUUGGGAAUUCCAUGCUCUGUA